rnacentral:rRNA from 1 species
AUGCCGGCGCACAAGGAUCUCGCUGUGCGGCAGGGCUCGCUGUCGGUGGAUGGCGUGCCCUUCCUGCUGGAGCCCUGGCGUGAGGACGCGCAUGCUGUCUGCCUCAAGUGGAUGAUGCAUAGUGGCAUCCCCUCGGAAGACGACGAGCCCGACGAGCGCCCAUACCCCCGCACCGAGCCGGGCGUGUGGACUGUGCGGGUGGAGGACGGCAGGCCGGCGAUUGCGCCUGCGCCUACCAUGCGCCCGCAGCCCCACGUGGCCUCCACGGGCUGCCGGGGCAUGCCCUCUAGCGGUGGGGGCGCGACCGCGACCGCGACGACCAAAGAUACCAGCAACGCACCUGGAAGGACACCCUCCUCGGCCUGGGACGGGCAAAUGCUCCCCCCACCCCCCACCCCCGACCAAGGAACGGCAGCGCAGCCGGACCCCGAUCUCCCGCCAUUGGCAAGACUUCGGCAUAUUUCCUUCAGAAGCCACAAGCAACGGCGUCUCCCUCCUCGCCCGCCUCGCCAGCUCGCCAAGCGCACUGUACCGGCCCAUGGCGCACACCCGGUGGCCGAGUUCUUCGAGGGAGCCCAAGACACCCUGCCUCCCCCGCCUCCCCGCGCCAACGCCCAGGCUCCAGUGAUCGACGAGAUGAUAGCCGCCAAGCUGGCCAAGCCGCUCUUCGACGCUGAUGAAGGGGGGGACAGCAAAGUCACCUAG